rnacentral:lncRNA from 1 species
CGGUUUCUUUCCGGCCGCGCUGGCUCCGUGGCUGAGGAGGCGGUUUCUUUCGGGUUCUGCCGGCUCCGUGGCUGAGGAGGCGGUUUCUUUCCGGCCGCGCCGGCUCCGUGGCUGAGGAGGCGGUUUCUUUUGGGUUCUGCCGGCUCCGUGGCUGAGGAGGCGGUUUCUUUCCGGCCGCGCCGGCUCCAUGGCUGAGGAGGCGGUUUCUUUCCGGCCGCGCCGGCUCCAUGGCUGAGGAGGCGGUUUCUUUCCGGCCGCGCCGGCUCCAUGGCUGAGGAGGCGGUUUCUUUCGGGUUCUGCCGGCUCCGUGGCUGAGGAGGCGGUUUCUUUCUGGUUCUGCCGGCUCCGUGGCUGAGGAGGCGGUUUCUUUCGGGUUCUGCCGGCUCCGUGGCUGAGGAGGCGGUUUCUUUCCGGCCGCGCCGGCUCCAUGGCUGAGGAGGCGGUUUCUUUCCGGCCGCGCCGGCUCUGUGGCCGAGGAGGUGGUUUCUUUCCCGUUGUGCCGGCUCCGUGGCUGAGGAGGCGGUUUCUUUAAGGUCUUUUCUGUGCUGAUGUUUUAGCUUUACUGAGAUUUUGUUGCUUAUCACACAAUUCACCAUUGAAGUGUCCUGGGCUGAUCUGAUGCCGAUGGCCUCCGAGUCAAAUGCUCUCUAAAGGAAAUUCUCAGAAGAUCUCCGGGGAAAAGCACACAUAAUUUAUAGAAUUAGAAAGCAAAGGAUUUGUAAGACAUCACAAGGAAUUCAGUUACCAGUUAGGACUGGUCACCUCCAAACUUAAGUACAAAGAACUUAUUUACUUCUUCCAAGGAAAUUUAUUUGGGGGAUUUUUUAUGUGGCCAUGAUGAUGCUGUCAGUGGCCGAAGCUGCAUUCUGGCAACUCCAGAUCCUGGGUGACUUUGCCUAGCUCUGCCCGGCCUGGUGUUGCAGGAAAUACGCUAAUUCCAGGCACGGAAGCUGGGAGUGCAUCCGGUCUGGGGAGACUUUGCCUUUCUAAGAGGCUCUCAGUGCUGUUGAUGGUGCACAUUCGACCUUUGAGACUUGGAGAAAUCAGAUUGCAGAAAUGAUGCAGAGCACCUGAGCAGAACCAAUCUGGCGUGAGACACACACGCACACACACACACAAUCAGGCGCACCCACCCACACAUAUACACACACAGGUACACAGUCGUGCACCCAUCCACAUACGUGCAGUCAUGCACACAGCCCUGCACACAGACCUACACAUACACAUGCGUGCACACAGACAUGCACACACACAGUAGGGGCCCUAAGCAGGCGUCCUUAGCCUUUCUGCUCUGAGCUCUGCAGCAUCAGAACCUGCUGCCAUAACUGAGCCAAGUGAACUCCUGAAGCAGGAGCAUCCCCGGGCGUGGCAGGGGAGCGCCCACCACCAAGAUUCUGCUGCUGUGCUCGGGGGCAGUUGUGCCUUUUCUGUUUUUCUUUCUUUCUAUAUUUCCAGGAAAUCAUGACAUUAAAAAUGACUUUUUCUUAUGACGAAUAUUCAUUGUAGGAUAUUUAGUGAAAAUUCACACAAUAAAAACUGUGAUUCGUUUGUGCUCUCCGAGUUUCUGGGUUUCCUUGCAUUUUUCUGGCAGCUUCUAUUCUCUCUGGGUGCUUCCGAUGCACACAUCGCAGAUCCCAGGAUGAUCUUCCUGCCUGGCACGGCUGCCUCCUCCACGCCACCCCUCAUUACCUGUGGUCUAGGAAGACCACCAGUUCCCAUUCCAAGCUGCCCAAAUAGCUGCGAAAUAUCUGCUGAAGUAAGAGGAAAAGGAGAGGCUCUUCCUUCUUCCUUUGAAUUUUGUCACCGGGCUGCUGAAGAGAAGGCAGCAGAGGUGACACAGCGUGAAGCUGAGGCUGGG